ACGGGAGGCAGCAGUGGGGGAUAUUGCACAAUGGGGGAAACCCUGAUGCAGCGACGCCGCGUGAGUGAAGAAGUAUUUCGGUAUGUAAAGCUCUAUCAGCAGGAAAGAUAAUGACGGUACCUGACUAAGAAGCACCGGCUAAAUACGUGCCAGCAGCCGCGGUAAUACGUAUGGUGCAAGCGUUAUCCGGAUUUACUGGGUGUAAAGGGAGCGCAGACGGCAUGGCAAGCCAGAUGUAAAAUGCGGGGGCUCAACUCCCGAACUGCAUUGGUAACUGUUAAGCUAGAGUAUCGGAGAGGUAAGUGGAAUUCCUAGUGUAGCGGUGAAAUGCGUAGAUAUUAGGAGGAACACCAGUGGCGAAGGCGGCUUACUGGACGAUAACUGACGUUGAGGCUCGAAAGCGUGGGGAGCAAACAGGAUUAGAUACCCUGGUA
rnacentral:rRNA from 1 species